rnacentral:rRNA from 1 species
UACGUAGGGCGCAAGCGUUGUCCGGAAUUAUUGGGCGUAAAGAGCUCGUAGGCGGCUUGUCACGUCGGGUGUGAAAGCCCGGGGCUUAACCCCGGGUCUGCAUUCGAUACGGGCUAGCUAGAGUGUGGUAGGGGGAGAUCGGAAUUCCUGGUGUAGCGGUGAAAUGCGCAGAUAUCGAGAGGAACACCUGCGGCGAAGGCGGGUUGCUGGGCCGACACUGACGCUGAUGCGCGAAAGCCAGGGGAGCGAACGGG